rnacentral:rRNA from 1 species
UCUGACGUUAGCGGCGGACGGGUGAGUAACACGUGGAUAACCUACCUAUAAGACUGGGAUAACUUCGGGAAACCGGAGCUAAUACCGGAUAAUAUAUUGAACCGCAUGGUUCAAUAGUGAAAGACGGUUUUGCUGUCACUUAUAGAUGGAUCCGCGCCGCAUUAGCUAGUUGGUAAGGUAACGGCUUACCAAGGCAACGAUGCGUAGCCGACCUGAGAGGGUGAUCGGCCACACUGGAACUGAGACACGGUCCAGACUCCUACGGGAGGCAGCAGUAGGGAAUCUUCCGCAAUGGGCGAAAGCCUGACGGAGCAACGCCGCGUGAAUGAUGAAGGUCUUCGGAUCGUAAAACUCUGUUAUUAGGGAAGAACAAAUGUGUAAGUAACUAUGCACGUCUUGACGGUACCUAAUCAGAAAGCCACGGCUAACUACGUGCCAGCAGCCGCGGUAAUACGUAGGUGGCAAGCGUUAUCCGGAAUUAUUGGGCGUAAAGCGCGCGUAGGCGGUUUUUUAAGUCUGAUGUGAAAGCCCACGGCUCAACCGUGGAGGGUCAUUGGAAACUGGAAAACUUGAGUGCAGAAGAGGAAAGUGGAAUUCCAUGUGUAGCGGUGAAAUGCGCAGAGAUAUGGAGGAACACCAGUGGCGAAGGCGACUUUCUGGUCUGUAACUGACGCUGAUGUGCGAAAGCGUGGGGAUCAAACAGGAUUAGAUACCCUGGUAGUCCACGCCGUAAACGAUGAGUGCUAAGUGUUAGGGGGUUUCCGCCCCUUAGUGCUGCAGCUAACGCAUUAAGCACUCCGC